ensembl:lncRNA
CUUGCCCAAGGCCACACACUAACAAGGAGAAGAAUGGGGAUUUGAAGACAGGCUGCCUUGCGGCUGGGGAGACCAUGUGACCAGCUCUGGCCAAUGGGACUUCAAUGGAAGGAGCGCUCCUAGGACAGGCUGCCUGGCACAGUUCCCUUCUCUUCCUGCUUUGAGAAAGUUCCUGAUCUUUGAAAGUGCAGUAACUAUAUUUCCACAGGAAAGGCCAAGAGAAGCACGGAGAUGCCAGCCGUGGCAGUGCUGAGCACCAGCCCCCACCCCCUUGCAGGUGGUUCAAAUGGGUAGCCGCUGACCGGGAAGAAGUUCAGGGCUGGCAGUCCACUGAGACGGGCCCUGACAGGGACUACGGCUGAAGAGGAACCCAGCCCAGGUGCUCCCUCAGGGAAGUGCUCCCCGCCUCCAGCCUCAGGCCUUGUUCUUGAUCCUCUUGACAGGCAGAGGUGAGGAAGGCUGACCCAGCAGGGAGGAACUGAGGGCCCAGCAAGCUCCUGGGGCUCUGCGGGGACUUUUCCUGCUCUGGGGGCAGGCGGCCUGGGGGAAGUCCUUGAUCUUGAACCCAGACAGUUGGAGUCUGCAGGUGGCCCUGCUUUCAAAGUGAACUCCCCGUGAUUCUGGCCUUUCCAGCUGAGGAAGUCUGUGAGUCCAGGAGGCUUCCGGAAGGCUGCUCAGCACCUGUUCAACAAAGGCGCCAGCCCCCAGGAGCAGAGGGAAAUGGGCAAGUGCCCGGGGCUCUCGACCGGGCGGGAUCAGUCAAGCAUGGCAUCGAUAGUGGAACAAAGGUACAAACCAGAUUUAUGUGUUUUAAACAGGGAGGACUCUCAAAAUGUGCUGUGGAGUAAAAAAGUGCAAGUUGCCAAACCACGUGUGGUGCAGGAUGCCAACUAUGUGAAAACAUUUCCACAGAAACAAUACAAUCCGUUUUGUGUAGGUGUACAUAUAAAUAAAGGAAUGGAAAUGUCUACAUUCUUAAAAGUUCUGGAGCAUAUGUAUCAAACCCUAAAGAGUAGUUACCCCUGGGGAGUGGAGAGGGAGACAGGGAGUGAAGGUGACAGGGAAAGAAACUUGAGAUUUAUCAGUAAUAUUUUAAUUUUUUAAAGAAAGUUCACUUAUGUAUGUAAUUAAACUUAUUUUUAAAACUCUAACCGUUGGUGUAAAGGCAAAGCAUAGGGUUAGAGUUUGAGGAGAACGAAGCCCUGCUCCAGUCCUCGAUACUCCAUGCCCGUAGGGCCGUUCUUUAACUGCCUGCCUUUGGUUAUUGCCUGGGUGAAAUGGGCAUAAAAACAUAGUGACUCCAGAGGGCUUCCCAAAGAACUAAGUGGCCUGGUCGACGGAGAUAUACAUAUGCUAGUUAUAAGUAGCAUUUUGUGUUUAAAAACAAUUUAGAGUCUCUAUAAAGACAGACUCAAAAUAAAAUCCAAUGUCUCUCCCCAAGGACAGAAAAAAGAGAGUGGCCACGAAGGAGCCGCCUUGAGUCUACUGAGAGCAGGUCAUGUCAGACUAACGUUACUUCCUCUGUUCACAGGAGGAGGGAAGGGCAAGAAGCAAACACUUAUGAUGGCUUUCCAGUGACUCCAGCUCUGUGCUGGGUGUCCUCAGAGUUCCCACCACCCCGAGAGGUUUCUCGGGGCAACCUGAACCAGGUUUGGUGAGGUUAGGAAACUCGCCUCCGGGGGACGCUGGGGAUCUGGGUUCAGAUCUAGAUUCAAAUGAUCCCAGGCAGCUAAGGGCCGGAGCAGCAGCAGCAGCAAGGACAACAGCUGCUGCCACCCUGGGCUGUCAUUUGAUCCUCACAAGGAUGGUAAAUUUUUUUACUCACAUUUUACAAGUGAAGAAAAUGAGACAGCAAGAAAGGUUAAGUAGGCCAGCCCAAAGUCACAGGUCUGUCUUGUCCCCAAAUCCGAGGUCUUAACCAUGCCACCCUAUGCCUCUCUCUUCCACCUACACCCGCCCCACACCAGGGAGGCUCUGGCCUCCUCCUCACGGGGAGAUUCUGUCAGAAGCUCUGAAAAGUGGCAACCACCUCUCUAGACUGGGUUAGUGGAUCAGGUUGACUGACGCUGGGGGCAGGGCAUGCGGAAUCCUGUGGGCACCUGGAUUGCAGCCAGGUUUCUGAGCGAGAUGCUCUUCAGGGCCAGGAGGUCAGGAAGGAGACAUGGGAGAUGAAAACUGAUACUGCUUGUUUAGUGGGUUGAAUUGUGUCCGCCAAAAAGAUGUGUUCAAGUCCUCACCCCGGUACCUACGAAUGUGACCUUAUUUGGAAAUGGGGUCUUUGCAGGUGUAAUCUAGUUACGGCGAACUCCUACUGGAUCAAGGUGAGCCCUAAAUCCAGUGACUGGCGUCCUUAUAAGAAGAGGGAAAUUUGGGCACAGAGACUCAAUGAAGACACACACACACAGAGAAGAAGGCCAUGAGAAGAUGGAGGCAGACGUGGAGUGAUGCAGCUACAAGCCAAGGAUGCCAAGGAUUGCCGGCCACCAACAACAGUUAGGGAGACGCCAGGAAGGAUUCUUCCCUAGAGUCUUUGGAGGGAGCGUGGCCCAGCCGAUACCUUGACUUAGGACUUCUGGCCUCCAGAACUGGGAGAGAAUGAAUUUUUGUUGUUUCAAGCCACCCAUGUGUGGCAACAUGUUCUGGCGGCCCUAGGAAACUAACACAGCCCGGUUGCUCCACGGCUGAUUGGGCAAUCCCGGCAUGACCUGUGGGCUUGCGCAGUGGGACAGAGGGCUUCGUCCUUGACCCUAAUUUAUUUUAUUAUCCUCUUGGAUAAAAAUAAAGAGAGUGUCUGCCAAUCAAAUACGUGGAUUAUUCAAAACCUGGAGAGAUGGUGAGUACUGAAGACAGGCUCUAUAUUCAAAAACAUCUCAAUGAACUGCAAUAAUGGGUCACAUUUUAUAAACUGAAACUUAACUAGGACAAAGUUUUUAAUUUAGGUUCAAAGAACUAACUGCAUGAAUGUGGAAUGGGGAACCUCUGGCUUAAUGACAGCUCAUAUAAUAAAAGGUGUUGGCCACAGCUGAGUACGAGCCAACAAUGCAUUGCAGUCAUUAAAAAAAGCUAGUGCACAUUUAAGGUGCUCCACUGACAAGGAGAAAUGAGACCAGCACCCCGUAGGUCGCUGAGCUGGUCAGGCCACAUCUGGAGCUUCAAUCAGCUCUGAGUACCUCAUUUUAGAGUUUUGACACUACUCAGCAUCCAGGGAAAGAGAGCCAGGAAAGUGAGGGGUCCAGAAACUGUCAUGCAAAGAAAAUCGGGGUGGGUCGGGGGCGGCCCUGAGGAGUAGUGGUUAAGUUUGCACACUCUGCUUCAGCAGCCCAGGGUUCACAGGUUCAGAUCCCAGGCAUGGACCUACACAUCACUCAUCAAGCUAUGUUGUGGCAGUGUCCCACAUAAAAAAUCGAGGAAGAUUGGCACAGAUGUUAGCUCAGGGCCAAUCUUUCUCACAAAAAAGAAAGAAAGAAAAUCAGGGGAUCUAGGCUUAUUUCCCCUGGAGAUGAGAAGACAUGGGAACCUGGGACAUGUCUUUAAAUGCUGAAUGGCUCUCAUGAAGGAGAGGAAAUAGGCCAAUUGUAUAGUGUUCCAGAAGAUUCCUAACCAGUGGCUCCUGCACUGAUGAUGGCAAGCAGCAGUCUCAUUCUUCAGCAGAGGGGACACUGUUGAUUUUGCAGCAUUAAUUCUCUCUUUUUCUGAUAACAGCACCCAGAUUUCCUUUGUGAGACCACUCCACCCCCACUUUGUCCAUGGUUCCAGGGGUGGGCAAAUGACUCAGACUUAGCCCCUCAGAGAGCUCUAUCCCUUUGCCCACACCAACCUGUUCAGGGAUGGGCACACGGCCCAAGCCAGAUCAAUGAGUGACUAUCCCGGGCAUUUUGUCAUAAUUACCAGGCAGAGACUGUCUCCUUUCAUUAGGAUCACAAAGCUGGUAGGAUAGAAACCUGGAGGUGCUGGAGGCCAGCUUGCCAACAAGUGAGAUGAACCUGCUUGAGAAUGAAGUCAACACAGGAAAUAGAGCCAAGAAAUGGAGGCAGAAAGAUCUCUACUGGCACCUUGUGAACACCUGGAUCCAGCCAUGACUGAAGCUUGUUUGUGACAUGACACAGUACAAUCUCCUUUUAUGCUUUUACUAGUUUGAGGUGAGGCUUUGUCAUUUGCAAUCAACUGUCCUAAGACAUCACACCCACCUGUAAGGAUAGCAAGCUGUCUGAUAAUGUCAUCCAGAAGGAUCUGUAAUAGUUAACAUUUACUGAGAAACUUCCUUUUUCAUAUUUGAGGAAGAUUGGCCCUGAGCUAACAUCUGUUGCCAAUCUUCAUCUUUUUUUUCUCCCCAAAGCCCCAGUACAUAGUUGUAUAUCCUAGUUGCAAGUCCUUCUAGUUCUUCUUCUAUUUGGGAUGCUGCCAUAGCAUGGUCUGAUGAGCGGUGUGUAGGGCUACGCCCAGGAUGCGAACUGGUGGACCCCCGCGCUGCCCAAGCAGAACACGCAAACUUAACCAUUACACCACCGGGCCAGCCCCACUGGGCACCUUCUAUAUGUAGAAAUCGUGGUAGAUUUUUAAGUUUAAUUUUUAAUAAAGUUAUACUUGCACAUCGUUUAAUGAGUUGCAUAGUUCUGUAAGACUUGUUAUGUAGAACAACUGUCUUUUGCAACUCAGACCCCAUUUCCCACUCCUGAGGCAAUUACUUACAACAUUUUCAGCUUGUUCUUUACCUAUUGACUUCUCACUGUGAAAGAUUAGGAUUUAGCUCAUUUUCACUCUCUGUGUCCCCACCACACAGCACACUUCCCAACCUCCUUCCUCCUCAUUUAAUUAUGUUGUAACUUUGUUUGGAUCAAUAUUCACUAUUUAUAUUUUCGACUUUGUAAACUCUAUUCACAGCUCGUGCAGGAUACUACAACUACUCUUCCUGCACAACACUUUGUUUUUGCUAGAGUUAAUAAUUGUCCUACUUUUUUCAUUUGCUAAGUAUUCUAUGUAUUUGCUACUAAUUCAACCCCAAAAUCUCCCUCGUGUGUGUAAAUCUCCAGUCAAUAUGUUCAAAACCUUAGGUGGCUUGUCAGUUGCAUCUUCCUGAACAGCCUGUCCCAGAGCCUCGCGUCUGCUCCAGCCUGGACAGAGCCCCCUCCAGGCCUUGGCCCCAGCUGUUAUCCUGGGGUCUCCCCUCACCAUCAACUAGACAGUCCCUUUGCUCCUUCUUUUAUUGGCUCUUGGUUUCUGGAUCCUGUUCCUUCUUCUUUCUUGGUUUACUCUCUUGUUUUGACAGUGCACAUCCUCAAGCAGCUUCCUGAGAAAGUGGUUCAUGGGAGGUAAAUUUUUGAGAUCCUCUCAAAAAUGUUUCGCUCUCACUCGUAAUUGCUGGAGGCUGGAUAUCAUUUUCCCUCAGUAUUUUGAAGAUCUUGUGCCAUUGUGUUCUCGCUUCCAGGGCAGCUGUUGAGAAGCCUGGUGUCAUUCUGAUUCUGGAUCCGUUGUAUGAAACCUGUCAUUCUGCUUUUGUUUGGUUUUGCUUCCUCAAAACUUAUAGGAUCUUCUCCUUGUCCCCAGAGAGCUGCUCCAGCAGAUCUAAAGAUGACCGAGUCAGUCCCCAAGGAGCUCCAAGGCCAAUGGAGAAGAGGUGGACUGGUUAUCUGUUGCCAUGUAACAAAUUACCCCAAAAGUUAGAGGCUGAAAACAACAAACAUUUGUUAUCUCACGGCUUCUACAGGUCAGGAAUCUGGGUGCAUUUAUCCAGGGGCCUCUAACUCAGAGUGUCCCAUGACAAAACCAACCAAGUGGUGACUGGGCCGGCAGUCACCUCAGAGGCUUGACUGGGGAGCAUUUGCUUGCCAGUCACUCAUGUGGCAGCUGACUUAUCUCAAGUCCUUGCUGACUGUUGGCUAGAGACAUCUGGUCCCUGCCACAUGAGCCCCUCCAAAGAACUACUCCAAAAUGGUGGUUUGCUUCCUUCAGAGUGAGGGGGAGAGAGAGGGAGGAACUGAAUCAGAAGCCACAGUCUUUUUGUAACCAAUCUUAGAAGUGACAUCCCUUAACUUCUACCAUAUUCUUGUCAUUAGAAGGGAGUCAAUGAGCCCAACUCACCCUCAAGGGGAGGGCAUUAGGCAGGAGAAAUACCAAGAGAUAGGGAUCAUUGAGAACCAUCCUAUUAGAGGUUGCCUAGCCCAACAGGCGAAUGGGAUUAGCAAAUGGAGAGCGCCAAGAGAGGAAAGUGCCGGCUGUUGCAGGAGCUCAGGAAAAGAAAUGCCAGCCUCUGCCUGAGGAGAUCAGAGAGGGCUUCCCAGAAGCAGCAGCUUCUGGUUGAGACUUGACUGAGUAGGAGAUAUCCCACGUGGACCUGGGGGUAGAAGAGCAUCCCAGGCAAAGAAAAAGUAUGUGCAAAAGCCAGAGGCAGACAAGGCUUGGUGGGCUCUGGAGCAGCACAGCAAAGCACGGAGUGGGGGGGUGAGAUGUGACGCUGGAGUGGGCAAGGCCAGCUCCUGAGGGACUCGCUUGCUCUCCACAGAAGUUGGUGCUUUAUCUUGGAGGCUCUGGGGAGCCAUGACUAGCUUUCAGGGGAGUGAGAUGGCCAGGUUUGUGGUUUAGUACACUCCGUAGUUGCCAGCUAAGUGGAGGAGAACUGGAGGAGCAGAGGUGGGAGGCAGGGGACCAGGGAGGAGGCUGUGGCAGGUGUCCAAGUGAAUGUGGGGGGCUGAUCUACGGCAAGGUAAAGGUGACCAAUGGGACUUUUACACUGUCACUGAAAAGGCAUCCAGCCUGUCUGGGAGCCAGGUGAAUGGAAAGAAGGGAGGGAGGGAGGAAGAAACAGGUAUGAAUGGAAGGAGGUCCGGUGCAGCCCAGAGCGGCCUCCAGGGUUGCCUGUUGACUGGUGAGGCAAAUGGCGAGCAGGCGGGGUCUUGCUCCUGCAUUAUGGAAAAGUUGGCAGGGUUGGGUGGUAACCUUGGGAGACUGGGAAGAAAGGUCGAGGUGGAGAUCUCAGCCGCCAUUUUGGGUCCCUGGUUUGGCCCCAGGAGGUCCAUCUCUAAGUCUCGUUGAUUACUCUUCCUCCACACCUCUUAGAGGCCCUCCCAUCUGUGGCGUGCAGCCAAGGCUUAGCUUCAGACCCGGGGCUUAGAACUCUGCAGGCACUUCUCGAACCCUCCCUCAAACCCAUCCUAGCAGCCUUCAGAGCUAGGCCCACCUUCGCCAUUCUGAAGCUCAUGGAAGACCUUAAGAACUUGAACUAACUUCCUGUCGCUAAUCUACCAGCCUCAUCACCCCACCCCUUCUCUACGUGACUGUGAGCAGGCCUGCCCGGAGGAGCCAUAGAGACUGCAAUGAGCUCAGCUCCUCAUCUUAACUCUGCAAAACUUUUUUGAGGUUUGGUCUUGUUCGCAGCAGAGCACAGUACUAGGACCAGGCUGUCCUGGCCUGGCACCUGCCCAGCACGCCAGGAACCAGACAGAGCCUUCCAGAAGUCAUAUAGUCCAUCCGCCUGCCCUGGGCAGGACUACGUUAUUCAUCAGAGAUAAUCUUUAAAUAAAUAGGGAAGAAAACUUUACACCUUCGUGGUAAUGUGUUGAUAUUUUGCAGACCCUCAAUGUGAGUUCUUUCUUCCUUCUAGCCUAAAUCCUUCAGGAAUCCUUAAAACAGAACAAAGCUACAUUCUAAGGGCUCCUGGAUAGAAGACCCAGGGUGGGUCCUGCCCUACUCAGCUUCAGCUUUCCCCCUCCUGAAGUGGGGGCUCAGGCCUCCAGAUAGGAAGGGGACCCCAUCUUUUUAUCUCCUGCCCUCUCUGGCUAGGCUUAAUCCACACCUGCCUGGGGACAGAGUUCCAGUUGCCCUUGGCACGCAGAAGGUGGAGGAUGUUAUGUAACUGGUCUUGACCAGACAUUCUGGUUCUGCAGGUAGAGUGUGCAAGUUAAAAAUUGUUUUAAAAAUGCAGUGCUGCUGCCCAAACACACAGUCCUAGGGCAGGAGGCCAGGGGCCGAGGCCACGCGCAGCAGACAGAUGUGUUUUCUGCAGGGACUUUGGGCCCAGCGCUGUGACACCAAGGGAACAUCAAACUCAGGGACCAGUGGCACAAGCCUGCUCCCCAGAAACAGGUUUUGUGCCUAACACCCUCUGAACUGUUUUCUCUAGAACCUGUGCUGCUCCCCCUGCCUCCCCCUCUGGCUCUGCCUCCUCCAUAAUCACGUCUAGUCUCCACCGGCAUCUGCACUGGGGUCUCUCUUUUUUGACGUCUUGUUCCCUUUCCACACUUUUAGGCACCUCUAACCUUCCCCUACUUCUUCUUUUCUGGUCCCUUCUUUCUUUUCUUCUUUUUUCCCUCCUUUCUCCACUCCCCUCUACCCACUGAGUAAUGGGGAUGGGAAUUCCUCAUCCCGUCCUUAAACUCUUCCCCUCGCCCUAAGCC